rnacentral:tRNA from 1 species
CGCGGGGUGGAGCAGCCUGGUAGCUCGUCGGGCUCAUAACCCGAAGGUCGUCGGUUCAAAUCCGGCCCGCGCAA